CCUACGGGGGGCGGCAGUGGGGAAUAUUGGACAAUGGGGGAAACCCUGAUCCAGCCAUGCCGCGUGUGUGAAGAAGGUCUUAGGAUUGUAAAGCACUUUAAGUUGGGAGGAAGGGCAGUUAACUAAUAUUUGACUGUUUAGACGUUACCGACAGAAUAAGCACCGGCUAACUUCGUGCCAGCAGCCCCGGUC
rnacentral:rRNA from 1 species